AUAAUCACUUGUUCUUUAAAUGAGGACUCGUAUCAACGGCACCACGAGGGUUUUACUGUCUCCUUUCCCUAAUCAGUGAAACUAAUCUCCCCGUGAAGAAGCGGGGAUAAACCUAUAAGACGAGAAGACCCCAUGGAGCUUUAAACCAAGCUACAAUCCAAUUUUUAUACGCCCACCCAUUAGACGGAUUCUGUAUGCCCAGUUUUAGGUUGGGGUGACCGCGGAGUAAAAGUUAACCUCCACGACAAACGAAACUUUUCUUAUCCGAGAACAACGCUUCUAAGAAUUAGUAUACUAAUGUUAAAUGAUCCGAUAAUCGAUCAACGGACCAAGUUACCCUGGGGAUAACAGCGCAAUCCAUUUCAAGAGCCCCUAUCGACAAAUGGGUUUACGACCUCGAUGUUGGAUCAGGAUAUCCCAGUGGUGCAGCAGCUACUAAAGGUUCGUUUGUUCAACGAUUAAAAUCCUACGUGAUCUGAGUUCAGACCGGAGUAAUCCAGG
rnacentral:rRNA from 1 species